rnacentral:rRNA from 1 species
UACGGGGGGGGCAGGCGUUGUUCGGAAUUACUGGGCGUAAAGGGCUCGUAGGCGGCCAACUAAGUCGGAUGUGAAAUCCCCAGGCUUAACCUGGGAACUGCAUCCGAUACUGGAUGGCUUGAAUCCGGGAGAGGGAUGCAGAAUUCCAGGUGUAGCGGUGAAAUGCGUAGAUAUCUGGAGGAAUACCGGUGGCGAAGGCGGCAUCCUGGACCGGCAUUGACGCUGAUGAGCGAAAGCUGGGGGAGCAAACGGG